rnacentral:lncRNA from 1 species
GGCAGUCCUAUUAAUGACACAGCACCCACCUGGCCUUGAGCCUAAUCUGGCAUCCACAGCUGGUGGCCAGGAUCGCUUCCCUAGUGAUGAGAACCAAGCAUACUACUCCCUUUCCAUGUAACCCCAGGUCUUCCUUAGGCCCUAGACCCUUUGGGUCUCUGAGGACAUCUGGGCCUCCUAUACACUUGAUGAGGAAUGAGAUAUUUUACCUGAUGUUGCUUGUUGGUCUGGGAAUCCCAGGAGGCUCCAUCUUCUCAAAUAACUACGUUUUUUCUGUUUUCUUUAUUGCCCUUCCUGAGGUUGCUAUUGCCUCGCU